rnacentral:rRNA from 1 species
GAUGAACGCUGGCGGCGUGCCUAAUACAUGCAAGUCGAGCGAACAGACGAGGAGCUUGCUCCUCUGACGUUAGCGGCGGACGGGUGAGUAACACGUGGAUAACCUACCUAUAAGACUGGGAUAACUUCGGGAAACCGGAGCUAAUACCGGAUAAUAUAUUGAACCGCAUGGUUCAAUAGUGAAAAACGGUUUUGCUGUCACUUAUAGAUGGAUCCGCGCCGCAUUAGCUAGUUGGUAAGGUAACGGCUUACCAAGGCAACGAUGCGUAGCCGACCUGAGAGGGUGAUCGGCCACACUGGAACUGAGACACGGUCCAGACUCCUACGGGAGGCAGCAGUAGGGAAUCUUCCGCAAUGGGCGAAAGCCUGACGGAGCAACGCCGCGUGAGUGAUGAAGGUCUUCGGAUCGUAAAACUCUGUUAUUAGGGAAGAACAAAUGCGUAAGUAACUAUGCACGUCUUGACGGUACCUAAUCAGAAAGCCACGGCUAACUACGUG